AUGUCUGGAAGCACGGGAGAACGCUCUUCUGCUUAUAUUAUUACCAGUAUUCGAUACUGGGUUAUUCAUAGCAUUACUAUACCUUCCUUAUUCAUUGCGGGUUGGUUAUUCCUCAGCCCGGCUUUCACUUGGAACAUAUGGAAGUCCUCGGCCAAACGAAUAUUUCACGGAAAGCCGACAAGGGAUUUUCUUAAUAACUGGGCGCUUUGA
rnacentral:rRNA from 1 species